UCAGAGAGAGAAGAGCUGGACCAUCUGUAACCUGCUCUCUUUCUUGAAACUCAUGAUCAGUGAACUGCCUGCCUCCAGAGGGAAUCUCCACCUGCUUCUGGAUGAUACUUGGAAGCUGCAUGUUGAUGAUGUCCAAAAGAACACGAUCUGUCCCAGGACAAUGGACAUGGACAUCUGAACAACUGCACUUUAUCCAGAGAUAAAAUUACUUCUCCCAGGACAAAUGCAAGGACCAGUCAUCCAGUGUACAGUCCUCCCAGGAGAUGUGUUCAACACAGGAGUGGCAGAAGGUGUCCACCAGAUCCAGGGCUGCUCAGGCUAGCAUGGUGGAGGCUCCCCAGGUACAAGUGGGGAACAGAUACGAGGCCCUGGCAGCUGUGGCAGAGAAGGACAAAGGGGAUGCCUCCAGCGGGGAUGAUGCCACUCUAUGUAAGACACAGACGGUGCAUAGAGGGACUAUCAGGAGGAAGAAAUGCUGGGUCCUCAUCAUUGGGAACUCCAUCCUAAGGGGAACAGAGGGACCCAUCUGCCGACCCAACCCCAUGGCACGACAGGUCUGCUUCAUGCCUGGGGCUCCGAUUCAGGACAUCACAGAGAGGAUCCUGGCCUACAUUCGACCGUCAGACCAGUACCUUAUGGUUCUCAUCCAUGUGGGAACAAAUGACGUGGCCAGAGGCAACCCAGACUGCAUCAUGAAGGACUUUGAGGCCUUGGGGGCCAAGCUCAAGGAGACGAGGGCACAGGUGGUAUUCUCCUCUAAUCUCCCGGUUGGCUGAUCUUGUGUGGCAUGCUUUAAACUAGCUUCGCCAGGGGGUUGGGCCACAGGAGGACUUGAGGACACCUUCCAACCAAGACAGGUGACAUGCACAAGGGGUACCCAGGUAAGCAACAGGGGUCCAGAUAGUCCUGGGAAUCAGGGGGUGGCACACGCACCAAUUCAAGGCCUUAAAUGCCUCUACACCAAUGCUCAUAGUAUGGGGAAUAAGCAGGAAGAACUUGCCCUCCAGAUAGCUAGUUCAAACCCGGACACAGUAGGGCUCACAGAAACCUGGUGGGAUUCAUCCCGCAACAGGGCAGUUAACAUUAGGGGCUAUAGACUAUACAGGCCGGAUAGAAUGGGGAGGAAGGGUGGAUGUGUUACAUCAAAGAGCAAUUCAUAGAUUCAUAGAUUCAUAGAUGUUAGGGUCGGAAGGGACCUCAAUAGAUCGAGUCCAACCCCCUGCAUAAGCAGGAAAGAGUGCUGGGUCUAGAUGACCCCAGCUAGAUGCUCAUCUAACCUCCUCUUGAAGACCCCCCCAGGGUAGGGGAGAGCACCACCUCCCUUGGGAGCCCGUUCCAGACCCUGGCCACUCGAACUGUGAAGAAGUUCUUCCUAAUGUCCAAUCUAAAUCUGCUCUCUGCUAGCUUGUGGCCAUUAUUUCUUGUAACCCCCGGGGGCACCUUGGUGAAUAAAUACUCACCAAUUGCCCUCUGUGCCCCCGUGAUGAACUUAUAGGCGGCCACAAGGUCGCCUCUCAGCCUUCUCUUGCGGAGGCUGAAAAGAUCCAGUUUCUCUAGUCUCUCCUCGUAGGGCUUGGUCUGUAGGCCCUUAACCAUACAAGUGGCCCUUCUCUGGACCCUCUCCAGGUUAUCCGCAUCCCUCUUGAAUUGCGGUGCCCAGAAUUGCACACAGUACUCCAACUGCGGUCUGACCAGCGCCCGAUAGAGGGGAAGUAUCACCUCCUUGGACCUAUUCGUCAUGCAUCUGCUGAUGCACGAUAAAGUGCCAUUGGCUUUUCUGAUGGCUUCUGCCGGCUCAUGUUCAUCUUGAAGUCCACUAGGACUCCAAGAUCCCUUUCCACCUCUGUGCCACCCAGCAGGUCAUUCCCUAGGCUGUA